rnacentral:rRNA from 1 species
GGGGUAACUGAGAAACCCGAAAUGUCGAAAGGGGAAAUUCAUUCGCGUUUCGGCAGUCAGAGACGAGCGGUCGCGUGACAGAUGGCGUUCGCACGUCGUCUGCACCCUCUGUUUGUCGAAUUGACGUAGAACGCGUGCACUUUUCCCCUAGUAGGACGUCGCGAUCCGUUGGGUGUCGGUCUAAGGCCCGCGGUGGAGCCCACGUGGACGUUUAACGACGUUUCGCAUGGACCCGUGGUGUCCCGGCCGACUCGCUCGACGGUAUUAAGAUGGCGCGGAGCCGCUACACAGUUAGCGUUCGGCUCGCAGCAAGCGCGUUCGGUGAUCAGACGGCGAUCGGACCUGGUACCGAUCCUGUCCCCGAGCGACUGUUGGCUGCGAUGUUCUGGAACAGACUCCGUUGUAACGCCGAUCAGCGACGCUCAUAGUUUUGGGUACUUUCAGGACCCGUCUUGAA